rnacentral:lncRNA from 1 species
CGUCCACAAUAGCCUAAUUAUGGUAAAAAUCUACUAAUAAUGAAAUUCUAUUAAAAUAAGGAAAAAAACGCGAAAUUUGUAAAAAUUCACCUCGGACUUGGCUUAUGCGGCCGAAUAGCUUUAGAGCAUGCGGUAGCAUAGUGCAAUUGGUCUGUGACUUUGGGACUUCUGCUGGGUGUAUGCGACUGCAGGACUUUAGACCUGUGCGGCCUCAUGGUUUAAUGCUUCAGCUCCGUUUUCUUCAACUUUAAACACGUUGAUCCAAUACUCUUCGGCCUUCGUCCUCAACAUGAAACUUAAUCCAUUUUGCAUCCCGAACAUUGUUUCAUCAAUCGUUGCUUUGACGAGCAAUCCCAUCGCCUCUUUCAUGAGCUUGGCCCUCGAUUACAUCAUCGGCCCCUCGACUAUCAACGGAUCUUUCCUCGGGCUUGACUCUGGACUUGACUUUGGUACUUGUGCUUCCUGGAUCACAUCAUCCCCUCCCUCUUCGAAAGGAUUCAACCUCGAAUCUACACCUGCAUCGAAAAGAGAUAAGUCAGAAACAUUGAAAGUUGCAGAA